AAGACAUGAUGAGGGUACUUCCUAAGCAUUUUCUUAAAUCUCCCAACUCUCAUAAAUGGAUUCUCCUUCUGCUGGGUAAAAGAAGUAAUAUCUUUUUUAAAUUU